UAGAAUAAUGAAAAAAUUCUGUAAGAAUAGA
rnacentral:piRNA from 1 species